GCGAUCGCGGGGGAAUCGGUAGACCCACCCGUUCGAGAUGCAGGCGCCGGCGACGGCGUAUGAGUUCGAAUCUCAUCGAUCGCACCA
rnacentral:tRNA from 1 species